rnacentral:lncRNA from 1 species
AACGGGUGCGCGCCCCGCGCGCGUUGUAGAAAAAUGUAAUGUAAGUGAUAAUAAUGUUAUAUCAUUUGUAAAAUGUAGAUAUACAUUCUGAAAUAUAAGUGACAAUUAAGAAAGUUGGUCAUGUAUAUCACAGAAGGUUGAACAGUAGUUAUUAAACAGAGUUAGGUAAUUUAUGACGGUGGUUAUUUUUGCCUGUUUCAACAUCUAAAACAAAGUUGUUAUGUUUACACAAAUUGUCUUCAAAAGGUUGAACAUGCAUACUAACAUAUAAAAUAAACACUUUAGAACUUCAAAGGCUGCUGAUGGUAGAAGGUAGCAUUCAGUCUUGGGAGGGUUUCUUAGGAGUUUCUUUUUGGAUGCGCACGGGUCCUUGCUUGAUCCUGUUCAUGAAUUAUAAAAAAGUGAGUUGUUUUAUUUACUUUACUAAUGGACUGAUUAGCUAGACAACUCGUUUUAGGAAUUUGGUAUUUAAGCACGGGGGUUAUUUAGAUGGUUAGAUGCUAUGGAAAAGUUGUACAUAAAAAGAAUAUGACAUAUGCACAUUAACAGAAACUUGAAUCCUUAGUAAGGAACAAAGAGACGUGCAAAAAAAAUAAUAACAUCAUCAGAAGAACAAAAUGUCUGCUUAAAUAAUAAUAAGCACAACAACAGUGCGAUCUCUUAACUACAUGUAAGAAUGUUUCUUGUUAAGCAUUGAACAUAGCACAGAAUGGAUAUGAAUACAUCACACGAUUUAUAUAAGAAAGUAAAAAGAUCGUGUGUGUGGUGGGGGAUAUCAGGUUGAGUGCUGAUGAAUGGGGAGUGGAAGAUCUUAUUUUUGUUCAUGCUUUCAUGAUUUGUGUACCUUUCGGGUACGUAGGAUAACAGAUAUUUUUUUUUCUUGUAGCUAUUCUGAGUAUAUUGCUCCCAGGCGAAAGAGAAUAUGCAACAUCCCCCACUUUUAAAACGGUUUGCUGUCAGGUUGGUUUGUGCAUCACAUUUGAAAUCCGUUUCUAUGAUUUGAUACAGAACUAUUGGUGUGUAUAUGUAACUAUUUAUUGAAUUGUUUGGUUUGGUUCUGAGCUAUACUCAGAUGCUUAUAAGAACUUUUAUAUUACAUACAACUUUUGUUUUAAAAAAGAAAGGAGUAGAAUCUGUUGAGCAGUGCAGUUUGUGUAUGUGAUUUCAACUACUUAUCUAUCUUAUGUUUUAGAAAGUGUUAUGUAAAAGAAAUGCUCGAACAAUAUGUUAGUGAAGCAGUCAUAAUAUUUAAACGCAUUUAAUAUGUUACGUAUCUUAUUAAGUAGAUUCUCUGCGUCUAAUUUAGUUAUAUAUCAAUGGGGGAUAAGCCAAGACCUAAAGUUGUGCGAUACAUUGUUUGUUGAUGUGAUGAUAUUUAUUCAUUACUGCGUUCUAGGUGGCAAAGCAGCUGAUGGAUUUGGGAGAUUAGAUGUAUUGAACAAACGUACCUGAUGUGCUCGGAGUUAAAAUCCCUGGGAAUUAGAGAUGUUUUCGCUCCACACGGAGGGCUGACCUGUAGAAUCAAUUAGAAAUUGGGCUAAUAAACGACCGGUAAACUAUGUAAAUAAAUAUGCGAAGGGAAAAAUAUAGUGUGUUAACAGACGACCAGCAAAUCGUGUACAAUUAAGAAGAUGUAGAUCGGAUUCCCUAUAUUCGUUCUUUCAAGUGAGAUUUUUUUUGGGAAAAAAAAGAAUGUGCAUCCAUAGAAUUAUGUACGUAGGGACAACAUGCGAAGUUUCAACUGUAUAAUUAUAAGGUAAAACAUGAACUUAGUUGAUAGUUCUUCUAUGUAUAAUAGAUACAUUUAAGGUUGAGAUACCUUUUUACCAAUAAUUGAUCAUGUAGAUACGGAUAUCAAAGUCCACAUACUCACACAUCCCAACCCCGAAAAGCUAAUCACACCAGAGACGGAGUGGGAGAAUAUACCUUUUCUUUAUAGUGAAAGUGGCAAGCAGCCAAGUUGUAGUACUUUUUGGCUAACCGAGUGUUUUGAAUUCCUGAACGCAUAUCGCACAGUUAAAACACCUUAGGCGCGAAGGACAAACUUACUUGAGCAAACAGGCUUUCAGCAGUAGUAGAGAGGGACUUAAAAACAUUGGUUAUGGGUGUAAACCAAAGGGAAUUAAAAAAAUGCAUGGUUGCACGCGACGCUCGACUGGAACAGUGGCUUUGCGAUGCUGCAGCCUGCAGGCCGUGUGCCAGGUGGCAGGGUGGGGCGCUGCCUGUGAGAUGUUGCCGCCGUGCCAGGAGAGGAAGGGCGGCGCUGCUGCCUCCUGGCGUUGGCCCACGCCGACGUUGAGGUGGGAUGUGGCUCCUGGCGGUGUCCAGCUCAGCGAGAAGAGGGAUUUGAGGGAACAGGGGGAUAAAGCUAGUGGUGCCUGGCGGCUUGCACAUCGACGGAAACUGAGAGCAAGAGGUUUCUGGCCGCGUUCUAUGGAACUCACAGAGAGAGAAGAGACUAUUGGACAACCGGCGAACAGAAAGAAUGGUACCUGCUUGGCCGUGGGCAAACGGGUGGGGUUCAGCGUGUCCGCCGUCGCGGACCGUGGAAGCCGUCGCCCCGGGAGAGAGAGAGAGAGAGGACGGGAGGAAGAUGCGUAUAUCCUCUUCUACCCCUUUCCGGGGCCAUCUGGAAACAUCAUGUCCUG